GACAGAGGGUGCAAACGUUGUUCGGAAUUACUGGGCGUAAAGCGCGUGUAGGCGGUCUCGCAAGUCGGGUGUGAAAGCCCUCGGCUCAACCGAGGAAGUGCGCCCGAAACUGCAUGGCUUGAGUACCGGAGAGGAUGGCGGAAUUCCCCAAGUAGAGGUGAAAUUCGUAGAUAUGGGGAGGAACACCGGUGGCGAAGGCGGCCAUCUGGACGGAUACUGACGCUGAGACGCGAAAGCGUGGGGAGCAAACAGG
rnacentral:rRNA from 1 species